rnacentral:rRNA from 1 species
UACGUAGGUGGCAAGCGUUAUCCGGAUUUAUUGGGCGUAAAGGGAACGCAGGCGGUCUUUUAAGUCUGAUGUGAAAGCCUUCGGCUUAACCGGAGUAGUGCAUUGGAAACUGGGAGACUUGAGUGCAGAAGAGGAGAGUGGAACUCCAUGUGUAGCGGUGAAAUGCGUAAAUAUAUGGAAGAACACCAGUGGCGAAAGCGGCUCUCUGGCCUGUAACUGACGCUGAGGUUCGAAAGCGUGGGUAGCAAACAGG